AUUGAACGCUGGCGGCAGGCCUAACACAUGCAAGUCGAGCGGAGCUGCUGACGGGCGAGUAAGUCCUAGGAAUCUGCCUGGUAGUGGGGGAUAACGUCCGGAUACGGGCGCUAGUACCGCAUAUUAUCAGAUGAGCGUUGGUCGGAUUAGCUAGUUGGUGGGUGAAAGGCCUACCAAGUCGACGAUCGGUAACUGGUCUGAGAGGAUGAUCAGUCAAACUGGAACUGAGACACGGGCCAGACUCCUACGGGAGGCAGCAGUGGGGAAUUGUGGACAAUGGGCGAAAGCCUGAUCCAGCCAUGCCGCAUGUGUGAAGAAGGUCUUCGGAUUGUAAAGUACUUUAAGUUGGGAGGCGUUACCAACAGAAUAAGCACCGGCUAACUUCGUGCCAGCAGCCGCGGUAAUAC
rnacentral:rRNA from 1 species